rnacentral:rRNA from 1 species
AACGAACGCUGGCGGCAGGCCUAACACAUGCAAGUCGAGCGCUCUCUUCGGAGGGAGCGGCGGACGGGUUAGUAACGCGUGGGAAUGUACCCUUCUCUAAGGAAUAGCCAUUGGAAACGAUGAGUAAUACCUUAUACGCCCCCCGGGUCAAACUGGGGGGGAAAGAUUUAUCGGAGAGGGAUCAGCCCGCGUAAGAUUAGAUAGUUGGUGGGGUAAUGGCCUACCAAGUCUACGAUCUUUAGCUGGUUUUAGAGGAUGAUCAGCAACACUGGGACUGAGACACGGCCCAGACUCCUACGGGAGGCAGCAGUGGGGAAUCUUGGACAAUGGGCGCAAGCCUGAUCCAGCCAUGCCGCGUGAGUGAUGAAGGCCUUAGGGUCGUAAAGCUCUUUCGCCAGAGAUGAUAAUGACAGUAUCUGGUAAAGAAGUCCCGGCUAACUCCGUG